GCCAGUGUAGCUCAAUUGGCAGAGCACCCGCCUUGUAAGCGGGAGGUUGCGGGUUCGAUUCCCGCCGCUGGCUCCA
rnacentral:tRNA from 1 species